AAACUUUGAACAACGGAUCUCUUGGCUCUGGCAUCGAUGAAGAACGCAGCGAAAUGCGAUAAGUAAUGUGAAUUGCAGAAUUCAGUGAAUCAUCGAAUCUUUGAACGCACAUUGCGCCCGCCAGAAUUCUGGCGGGCAUGCCUGUUCGAGCGUCAUUU
rnacentral:rRNA from 1 species